AUUGAACGCUGGCGGCAGGCCUAACACAUGCAAGUCGAGCGGAUGACGGGAGCUUGCUCCUUGAUUCAGCGGCGGACGGGUGAGUAAUGCCUAGGAAUCUGCCUGGUAGUGGGGGACAACGUUUCGAAAGGAACGCUAAUACCGCAUACGUCCUACGGGAGAAAGCAGGGGACCUUCGGGCCUUGCGCUAUCAGAUGAGCCUAGGGCGGAUUAGCUAGUUGGUGGGGUAAUGGCUCACCAAGGCGACGAUCCGUAACUGGUCUGAGAGGAUGAUCAGUCACACUGGGACUGAGAAGCGGUCCAGACUCCUACGGGAGGAAGCAGUGGGGUAUAUUUGACGAUGGGCGAAGGCCUGAUCCAGCCAUGCCGCGUGUGUUAAGAAGGUCUUCGGAUUGUAAAGCACUUUAAGUUGGGAGGAAGGGCAGUAAGCUAAUACCUUGCUGUUUUGACGUUACCGACAGAAUAAGCACCGGCUAACUCUGUGCCAGCCACCGCGGUAA
rnacentral:rRNA from 1 species